rnacentral:rRNA from 1 species
UACGUAGGGUGCGAGCGUUAAUCGGAAUUACUGGGCGUAAAGGGCGCGUAGGCGGCGCGGGAAGUCCGUGGUGAAAGCCCGAGGCUCAACUUCGGGUCGGCCAUGGAUACUCCUGGGCUUGAGCACUGUAGAGGCAGGUGGAAUUCCGGGUGUAGCGGUGGAAUGCGUAGAGAUCCGGAAGAACACCGGUGGCGAAGGCGGCCUGCUGGGCAGUAGCUGACGCUGAGCGCGACAGCGUGGGGAGCAAACAGGAUUAGAACGGUACGGUCAG